UUGGGCACUGAAUUUGCAACUUCUAACCCCAAUUUCCAGCACAUCUAAACCCUAGGAGAGAGAAAGAAAAAUCUCUCCUUGUUUCUUAUAUUUUCUAUUUCUACUUCACUUUCAACAACACUUAGAUUUUUGGCUUCAAAUCUUCAUUUUCAAGGUUGAAAGGUAUAUAUUUCCAACUUUUGAAAUUUUGGAAUUUAUAGUUAUAUUUUCAGAUUUAUUCUCUAAUUUUUUCAAAUUAUUUUUCUUGAAAAGAUUAGGUUUUUGGUUGAUCUUCAUGCCUCCAAGCUCAUCCAGG
rnacentral:lncRNA from 1 species